rnacentral:tRNA from 1 species
GGGUCGGUAGCUCAAUUGGUAGAGCAAGUGGCUCUUAACCACUAGGUUCAGGGUUCGAGUCCCUGCCGACCCACCA